CGUAGGGGGCGAGCGUUGUCCGAAGUUACUGGGCGUAAAGCGCGCGUAGGCGGUCUUUUAAGUCUGGUGUGAAAGGUUCAGGGCUCAACCCGAACAGUGCACUGGAUACUGGGAGACUUGAGUAUGGGAGAGGAGAGCGGAAUUCCUGGUGUAGCGGUGAAAUGCGUAGAUAUCAGGAGGAACACCGAUGGCGAAGGCAGCUCUCUGGCCUGUAACUGACGCUGAGGUGCGAAAGCGUGGGGAGCGAACAGGAUUAGAUACCCUGGUAGUCCACGCCGUAAACGAUGAGUGCUAGGUGUCAGGGGUAUCGACCCCCCUGGUGCCGCAGCUAACGCAGUAAGCACUCCGCCUGGGGAGUACGGCCGCAAGGUUG
rnacentral:rRNA from 1 species